GAGAGGUGCUGCAUGGCUGUCGUCAGCUCGUGUUGUGAAAUGUUGGGUUAAGUCUCGCAACGAGCGCAACCCCUAUCGUCUGUUGCCAGCAUUAAGUUGGGCACUCUGACGAGACUGCCUGGGUUAACCAGGAGGAAGGUGGGGAUGACGUCAAGUCCUCAUGGCCCUUAUGUCUAGGGCUACACACGUAAUACAAUGGCGCGUACAGAGGGAAGCGAACCAGCAAUGGGGAGCAAAUCUCAAAAAGCGCGCCUCAGUUCGGAUUGGAGUCUGCAACUCGACUCCAUGAAGUUGGAAUCGCUAGUA
rnacentral:rRNA from 1 species